rnacentral:rRNA from 1 species
AUUGAACGCUGGCGGCGGGCCUAACACAUGCAAGUCGAGCGGAUGAAGGGAGCUUGCUCCUGGAUUCAGCGGCGGACGGGUGAGUAAUGCCUAGGAAUCUGCCUGGUAGUGGGGGAUAACGUCCGGAAACGGGCGCUAAUACCGCAUACGUCCUGAGGGAGAAAGUGGGGGAUCUUCGGACCUCACGCUAUCAGAUGAGCCUAGGUCGGAUUAGCUAGUUGGUGGGGUAAAGGCCUACCAAGGCGACGAUCCGUAACUGGUCUGAGAUGAUGAUCAGUCACACUGGAACUGAGACACGGUCCAGACUCCUACGGGAGGCAGCAGUGGGGAAUAUUGGACAAUGGGCGAAAGCCUGAUCCAGCCAUGCCGCGUGUGUGAAGAAGGUCUUCGGAUUGUAAAGCACUUUAAGUUGGGAGGAAGGGCAGUAAGUUAAUACCUUGCUGUUUUGACGUUACCAACAGAAUAAGCACCGGCUAACUUCGUG